rnacentral:lncRNA from 1 species
GCCUCAGGGAAGGGGAAGGAGGCCGCGGUUUCGCGUCCCGCCUCUAGCCUGGCUGGCCAUGGGGGCCUGGACGCAGUGGCCUCCCGAAUCCCCCAGGAAUCUUAAUGUCGCCAGAGGAUGCUGGGAGGAACACUGAGCCGACCUCUCCGUUAGGCUGAAGAUUGCACAAACCAUGAUAAUGGCCAGCAUGGAUGGAGGGAGCGUGUGAGAUGUGCGGGGCAGUGUGCUACGUCUCAGCCAACUCUAGGAGAUGGAACAAAGUCUGUUUGUGAAAACACCCUUCCCCUCUGUUUACUUGGACCUGAUUUUGAAAGUAGCAAGUCACUUUAUUUGGGCUGGAGGAAAAAGCACUAAACCAGAUGUUGAGGUGACCGGGAUUCCUGGAAGACAUUCUCCUUCUCUCCAACGAGAUGCAUGAUGCAUGAAGUAGGAGCCCCUGGCAAGGAGCCCAGGCCGCCAUGGUCUCGCUCACUCAUGCUUCCCGGCACGGCCCCGAGGCUAGCUGCCUCUGUACUGCCUGAGCAUCAUCCCCUGGCGUGUCACCAGACUACCCACUACCUGUGCUUGCACCUGCGGGUGGGCAGUUCAGUCGUUGCAGGCUGAAGCUCCCUGUCACAGGAGUCCAUCAGCACUGGAGUUUACCAAAUGGCCCAGUCCAGGAAGCAUGGUCAUGGCAAUACCUGGAGUCUCCACUGCAAGACCAGAGUGAUGGAGGCAGCAGAGCUCCUCAGCAGACCAGGAGUCUCC